GAUGAAGAACGUAGCAAAAUGCGAUACUUGGUGUGAAUUGCAGAAUCCCGUGAACCAUCGAGUUUUUGAACGCAAGUUGCGCCCGAAGCCUUUUGGCCGAGGGCACGUCUGCCUGGGCGUCACGCAUCGCGUCGCCCCCCACAAUUCUCCGUAAAGGGAACAUGUGUUUUGGGGGCGGAUAUUGGUCUCCCGUGCUCAUGGCGUGGUUGGCCGAAAUAGGAGUCCUUUCGAUGGACGCACCAACUAGUGGUGGUCGUAAAAACCCUCGUCUUUUGUUUCGUGCUGUUGGUCGCAAGGUAAACUCUUUAAAAACCCCAAUGUGUCGUCUCUUGACGACGCUUCGACCGCGACCCCAGGUCAGGCGGGACUACCCGCUGAGUUUAAGCAUAUCAAUAAGCGGAGGA
rnacentral:misc_RNA from 1 species